rnacentral:lncRNA from 1 species
GAAAAAAUCUGGAGGAUGGUUUUAUGGUAAACUGCCCUCGAAAUCUCUUUGCCAAAAUGUGAAACAAAGUCAGAUCUCAGGAUCACCGAGUACGAUAAGAGCGUAUGAUAGUUGGGAACACAGGGCACCCGAUAUAGUACGAAUGGAGAGUUUUGAACCACCUGAAGAAAAUCACAAUGAUCAUACCUUAUACAAGAACUGGGCAGUUAGUUCUCAUCCAGAUUUAAAAUUGCUUGAAGCAGAUACUAUUUCUGAAGAAAUCAAAAGACGAGAAGGCUUUCGAAAAAGCUCAGACGAUAGCAAAAUACGACAUUCUCAGUAUUUAUCAGACUUGGAUCCUCUUGGAGCAAAGCUGUCCAUUUCUUGCCCAAUGCUGAAAGACUUGGAGAAGGAUGAUGUGCAUCCCAAACUAAAACACUGGCAUCCGUUAUCACGAAAGAAAAUUUUAUCACCCGCUCGAAGAAUUAUGGAAAAAGUAACGAAACAUCGAAAGACUUAGAAAAAUAAAACAAUUUACCCAUAGAAAAAAAUUUAACAUUCCAAUUUUCACUGCAAUUCCAAUUGUCAUUUGUAUUCACUUGAAAACUUUUAAAUGUUACUUUUGGCAGGUUUUUUAGAAUGAUGUUUUAAUGGGAUUGCAUCAAAAUAAAUUUAAAAAUUGAUUGCACUUUUUACUUUUUGGACCAUGCUCAAGACAAUAGAAUUGCAGUAUUAUUUAGAAAUGAAUUUCACAGUUUCAUCGAAUUUUAUUUUCAAAUCGAAAUGCGGCACUAUCUUUAUUCUUGCAUGCUAAUUAAAUUGCGUUCCAUACUAAAGUAAAUACUCCGUUUAAGCAAGUGGGAACAGGAGGAAUUAAAAUAACCAGUUUUCAUUUUUGGGAAGUGAAGAUGGAUUUCUCUGAUAAAAAGCAAUUAUUUUUGACAGAAUUACACGUAUAACUUAUACGUAUUCUGCAUAAUCUAAAUUUCGUUUACUCCGAAACUGGCUCUAAAAACGCUGUAUAACGCUACAUUUUUUAGAAAUUAGAAUUUUCAUAACAAAAUGACACAAGCUGAAGAAAGGGGGGGAGCAAAUUCAAGAAGUUUUUUUUAAUCGUAUGUUAAUUACAAACCUAUUACUAUAAUUAACAAUAAAAUACAAUAUCUACCUACGGUAAAUUAAAAAAAAAAAUUGGGUUGACGGUAAAGCAUAUGAAUGCUGUUUGUCUUAGGAGGAAUAUUUUUGCAGAGGAUUUCUUUAGAGAAAUUAAUUUGCAUACAAGGUGCAUAUUGGAAAAUCCAUGAAAAAUUUAUGACUUUUAAAGUCUGAUGAUGACUUUUAAAAGUCAGUACAUUCGUCGAGAUCUGAGCUAUGAGUUUUCAGCCUUCUUAUUCGACUCGGACACUGAUAGGUGCAUAAACCUUAGUAACUGUGAACAAAACAUUUUUUUUAUAAAUGUUAAACAUUAGUGCUUAAGCCAUUUCACAGGCUUUUCAAUACUUUUCAACAGUGCCCUCAUACCAAAGUGCAAUACAAUUAUUUGAAAGUUCAAAAAACAUAAACUGAUUGGAGCCACACAAAAUACAGUUUGGGAAAUCCAGCACUCCAAUUCUGUAGAGGUAGUCUCGCAAACAGUAAUGUCCAAUCCAGACGUCUAAAUAAAGCCACAGCUAUCUUUCUUGGAAGACUGGGAAUUGUUAUUUCUCCUCCCAAAAUCCUCCGAAUUGUUAUUUCUCCUCCCAGAAUCGUCCAUCCUUGAAUCCGUGAAGCGUAUUUUUGGAAUCUAAGAAUAUGACUGCCUUUACAAAAGAUUGGCUACGAAUCGACAGUUGUUGAAUGGCCACCACAGCAAUGGCUCCGAUUUUCCCUAUGAAAGGUAGGAAGACGGCCAUUAGUAAGUAGAAACUAAAAAGCUCACUAUACCUGCCAUCCCCUCCAGGCUCUCUCUAACAUAGAACCGUCAAUCAAGCAUCCACUCAUUUUGAGAAUAUUUUUUUUUCCCAAUGGCAAACACUUGCCUAUAACGGCAUUUGCCCAUUCCUAAGGCCAGAAGUGGUAGCCAGUUUAUUGUGGAGGCACUUAACAUGUAUGUAUGUGAAGAACAAAAUGUAAUCGUUACAUAACGAUGGCCGUUACAUUGAUUAUUUCAUAGGAGGUUAAAUAAUCGAUUUUCAUUUUCGGGAAGUAAAGACGGAUUUUUCUGAUAUAAAGCAAUUAUUUUUGACAGAAUUACAUGGCCAUCGUUACCUCCUAUGAAGGGACAGACAAUUUUACAUGCCUGCCUUCUCCGAGAUUCGAACCCGAGCCCUUUGGUAUAGUUAGCCAGACUUCCCUAACCAUUAUACCGCCAGGGCCGCAUUUUGAAGAUAUCGAGCCCCAAUAGUCUCCAUUGCAAUAAAUCUUGAUUAUGAAUCGCUCAUUCCGUUUUUAACCACUCUUUGUACAAGAUCAAGAUUUAUAUUCAAAUUAAAAAAAAAAGCCCAGGGACAAGGGGGAGGAGUUAAAGUUACAUAAUCUCGGCUCAAUUCCAAGGUAAAUUAACAGGGCGCAGCCCUCAGCCCACCCAACCAAGAAAACUUGGUCAUAUGACUUAUCACAAGGGCCGGCCCAUCUAACAACAAACGAGGGGCCAGAGACCCAGCCGUGCUCAAAAACUAACAAAGAGAAACAAACAAAUAAAAUAUUAAUCUAUUAAUCCCGGGAAACCAAAAGCCCCAGGAACCGAGUAACAAAAAAGUUAGAAAAAGGAAAACUAAACAAAAUCAUAAAUACGACCAGUGAAUUUCAUGUCAUCACUGGACCUUAAACAUUCACACAAACGAACAAAAUAAAAUAAUAAAGAACUGUUAGAAAAUUAAAAAUAAGACAACACAUAACCAAGCAAAUACAAUACAAAAACACCAUUCACACAUAGAUUCCUAUGGCUUCUCUUGAGCUAUUCACAAUCUUCAUAAUUUGUCUAGAAUAUUCCACAAAGUUCUUAUAAUUUUUCUUGAAAUCACUUCUAUAAUAUUUUUGAUAUCUAUCCCUUGCACUCCCGGUAAUAAUACAGUUCUCAAAGAAUUGUCCUGCAAUCCAAAACGUUUCAAAUAUGCAGGAAAGCGUCCAUGUCCCGUAAGCAUUUGAUUAACAUCUAUAUCUUUGUAUAACUUCAUUUUCUUUUCAAUAUUUAUAUUUUUCAGUAAACCACAAUUUCUAUUAGAUUGUUCCCAAUUAUUUUUCCAUUCGCUCAAUAUGUAAUUAUAUAGUGUAGAGGUGGCCCUUCUUCUAGAGGGCCACAUCUACUCCAAGGUAUCAGAUUCUCCCUAAGCACCCUGGAUAAAGCCAAUUUUAAGUUUCAAAAUUUCUAGAAAUUUCAUAGUUCCUCCAAAACGAUUUGUCGGACAAGCGCACAAGCUUCUGGCAUAUUGCACGAAAAUAUAAUGAUCUUAGUAUUAAAAGUGCCAUCUUAACAUGUGGACUACGUUUUAAUAAUUUUUUUAUUAUUCAAAGAGAGAGCUGGUGUAGGUAACGGACUCCAGAAAACUACAAGAAAUCAUAGCUAAAGCGGCUUCUCGGUCAAAUAGUGACCUUCGAAGGUCACUGUCAAAUAAAGACGCCCAAAUUAAGGCAUCACAUAGCUAAGGAACACCUUAGCUAUGUGACUUACCUUUGCUUUAAUGGAUAAAGAAGGAAGUCAUCCGAAAUAAUAUUAAAGGUAGUUUUACUUUUUAAGGUGUACGUAGUUUCGGUUAUUCGUGUGUUUAUGUUGUACACUUGAAACAAACUUCUGAAAAUAUUUAAAUAUUACUUUAAAUCUAUACUACGGACUUCCUCUGUUAUACAUUUUGCUUGACAGCUGUAAUCAUAACACUAGUAUGAAAUAAAACCUUUCAAAAAAUAAUUGUGGUCAGAAAUUGUUGAAUUCUUUUCUGUUUGAUUUCAUACUAUAUUUCUAUCUAAAAAAAUAUUCUUUUAUGCUUAACAAUGAAAACUUCGAAAAUAGUUAAACUUAAUGUUAAAAAAAACAGAGAACAAUACUAAUGCAGUUUGAUAAAAUUUAUUAUUAAAUAAUGUUAAUUUUAUAACAUUUUAUAAUUAUAGUACAAAGUCCGAAAUUCAGACGUCCAACAUCCGGAAUCCACUGGAUCACCAGCAACCUUUUUUCUUUUAUACGCUUGUUUGUUUGAUACUUUUUCAUAAUAAAACAUGCGUAGAUCGGGUUCCGAUUCUUAAUUUCAUUUCGGAAAUGACGUCAAACUGGCGAAUCAUUUAUUAUUUUGUGCUUGCAUCACGGCGUGAUUAUCAACACAAUCCAGCUUGAGAAAUGACUCGUGAAGCAAUAUCUAAACAAAUUAAAAAAAAAAAAAAAAAAAAAAAAAAAAAA